CCUACGGGUGGCAGCAGUGAGGAAUAUUGGUCAAUGGCCGGAAGGCUGAACCAGCCAAGCCGCGUGAAGGACGAAGGUGUCAAGCAUUGUAAACUUCUUUUGUCAAGGGACAAAAUCAGGCUCGAGAGCCUGACCGAGGGUACUUGAAGAAAAAGCAUCGGCUAACUCCGUGCCAGCAGCCGCGGUAAUACGGAGGAUGCGAGCGUUAUCCGGAUUUAUUGGGUGUAAAGGGAGCGUAGGCGGGGAUGCAAGUUGGGUGUCAAAACUACCGGCUCAACUGGUAGUCGCACUCAAAACUGCAGCUCUUGAGUGAAGUAGAGGCAGGCGGAAUUCCUAGUGUAGCGGUGAAAUGCGUAGAUAUUAGGAGGAACACCAGUGGCGAAGGCGGCCUGCUGGGCUUUUACUGACGCUGAGGCUCGAAAGUGUGGGGAGCAAACAGGAUUAGAUACCCUUGUAGUC
rnacentral:rRNA from 1 species